rnacentral:rRNA from 1 species
CCUACGGGUGGCAGCAGUGGGGAAUAUUGCGCAAUGGGCGAAAGCCUGACGCAGCGACGCCGCGUGAGGGAUGAAGGUCUUCGGAUCGUACACCUCUGUCAGCAGGGAAGAACGGUCACUGUGCUAAUCAGCAGUGAAUUGACGUACCUGCAAAGGAAGCACCGGCCAACUCCGUGCCCGGCGCCGCGGUAAGACGGAGGGUGCGAGCGUUAAUCGGAAUUACUGGGCGUAAAGCGCUCGUAGGCGGUAUGUACAGUCAAGGGUGAAAUCCCCGCGCUCAACGUGGGAACUGCCUUUGAAACUGGCAAACUGGAGUGUGUGAGAGGAUAGUGGAAUUCCAGGUGUAGGAGUGAAAUCCGUAGAUAUCUGGAGGAACAUCAGUGGCGAAGGCGACUAUCUGGCACAUAACUGACGCUGAGGAGCGAAAGCGUGGGUAGCAAACAGGAUUAGAUACCCGUGUAGUC